rnacentral:rRNA from 1 species
UACAGAGGGUGCAAGCGUUAAUCGGAAUUACUGGGCGUAAAGAGCACGUAGGCGGUUAAUUAAGUUGGAUGUGAAAUCCCCGGGCUUAACCUGGGAGUGUCAUUCAAAACUGGUUAACUUGAGUACGGUAGAGGGAAGUGGAAUUUCCGGUGUAGCGGUGAAAUGCAUAGAUAUCGGAAGGAACAUCAGUGGCGAAGGCGACUUCCUGGACUGAUACUGACACUGAGGUGCGAAAGCGUGGGGAGCAAACAGG